rnacentral:ncRNA from 1 species
AAUGAGAUUUCAGAGUCAGGCCGGGACACCCUCCCGUCAACGCGGUCGUACAUCCAGCCGGUUGCCUGACUCCUUGCAUUGAGUGAUGUACGGAGUUAAAGAGC